GAUGAACGCUGGCGGCGUGCCUAAUACAUGCAAGUCGAGCGAACAGACGAGGAGCUUGCUCCUCUGACGUUAGCGGCGGACGGGUGAGUAACACGUGGAUAACCUACCUAUAAGACUGGGAGAACUUCUGGAAACCGGAGCUAAUACCGGAUAAUAUAUUGAACCGCAGGGUUCAAUAGUGAAAGACGGUUUUGCUGUCACUGAUAGAUGGAUCCGCGCCGCAUUAGCUAGUUGGUAAGGUAACGGCGUACCAAGGCAACGAUGCGUAGCCGACCUGAGAGGGUGAUCGGCCACACUGGAACUGAGACACGGUCCAGACUCCUACGGGAGGCAGCAGUAGGGAAUCUUCCGCAAUGGGCGAAAGCCUGACGGAGCAACGCCGCGUGAGUGAUGAAGGUCUUCGGAUCGUAAAACUCUGUUAUUAGGGAAGAACACAUGUGUAUGUAACUAUGCACGUCUUGACGGUACCUAAUCAGAAAGCCACGGCUAACUACGUG
rnacentral:rRNA from 1 species